CUAGGAGAUUGGAUAUAUAUACAUAGAUAUAGAACCAACUUUCCAUGAAAGGAAGGUCAAGGAAUUUGUAAUUAUUUUAAAUCCAACCAACUGAAAGCAGACACGAGAAGCUAAAUGAGGAAUCGUACUACGAUAGAGCAUGGCACCAUGAUAAUCCCUGAUAAAGUCAUGCCAACUGAGUUUAAGUUCGCAGAUCUUGGGCUCUGGAUACCUGGCCCUGAACAACUAGCAUGUUUGAAAAGGAAAGAUUAAAAAUAACAUUUCUUCUGCUUGAGAAUGGACAAUAGAAUUCCUUGCUUUGGCUUUUUGGGACAUAAGUAUACGCUCAAUCAGUGUUUCCCGUUGUGUUCUAUAAAAUGUUAUCAUUUGAAAAAAGUUCUGUAUUAAGAGACUCAAAAUCAGUGAAGAAAUGUGGAAUAUUGCAGUGGAAACAGCACUAUGCUAAGGAUCAAGACACUGGAGUUUAAUCACUAAUCAUGGUGCAAUCCCAGACAAGUCAUUUUCGGGGUCUCAGUUUCUCAUAUGUAAGAUAAAGAGUGUGUGAUUCAUAUAUAACAAUCUUUCAUUCUGAGCAUGAAAUGGGAAAUCAAAACUAGGUAUCCAUUUUAGUUUUGAAAGGUAAUAAAACAAAAUUUAUUGCAAGAAGAGAAUUUGAUGUUCAUUUCUUUCAACACCUUCAUUUCAUUGGUUGAAACAGUAAAGCAUUGUGAGGUGGACGCUUACUCAAAGCCAGAGGACUAACAAGCUGUCCAGCCAGGACAAAAACCCAGUUUUCACUGCUGGAUACCUGAUGGGCCAUUUGGUAGAUCAGAUAUCUUCUCUGAUGACCUAUACCUGAAAAUGAUGUGAAUAUUCGUUGUGUGAAGAUACUGAUCAGUCUGAAGCAA